rnacentral:lncRNA from 1 species
AUGGUACUUAUCUAAUAUUCAUGCUCGUCGAAGAAGGGAAAACAGGAGAGGUGAUAAAAACCCACCAAUUUAUUAAUAAAAUAAAAGAAUGACAAUUCAAAUCACGGUGGAUAGAAGUGCGUUGUACACCUGAACGUGACCAUUGAGUUGCGUUUAGAGAUCAUUCCUUAGGUCUUGGGUGCUUAUAUUGGUGUAUUAUAUGCCUGCCAUGAUCACCAGCAUCAGGCUCAAUAUUGAAUGGAAGGCAAAGAAUCAAUGUUAAAUUUGCAAAUUUGAGCUAUAGCCUAAUGAUUGGUACCUUCCUUUGGAGGAGAUUCCAGAUCAAUUUCUUGAGAAUUGCUUUUAUUGAGCAUUGGACAGCAGACUUCCCAUAUUGUUUCUGAUUUGUGAUGCUUCCACCACUAUUUAACCCAAAAAAAAAUCACAUGCAUGCCUUUUUUUGUAAAAUAUACAUUAUAUCGUUAUUUUUCAUCACGAUGCACCGAGGACUUAUAAAACGGGUGCAAGUAACCAAUUUAAUAAGUGAAAUUUUACUUAUUUAACCCCAAAAAUUUUAUACGCAGCACAAAUUCCAUUUGUAACAACUAUCAAACAAUAGGGCUUUGACUAAAAAAUAAUCAGCAACGAGCAAGUGCAAUAUCUAUGGUAUGCACAAGAUGAAUGACGGUUCAAUAUGGAUGGUUAUGAAUCCAUUCAUUAUAGUUGUCUAAAUAGAGUCCAUUAAUAUAUUCUCCAUCCUAAUCUUAGUUUAUGUGCUUGCAUCCUCCCUUUUCCUUGGUCAAUCAUUUAUUAGGGAAUCCAAAUGGAGGGUCACUAAAUGAAGAGGAACCCAUGAAGAGCACAGAUGUAAGCGUACCAUUUGGAGAAGAGGAACGUGUCUGAAAUGGAAGUGAGACAUAUGGUGCAACACGGCUCUAUGCGAAGCAAACGCCUGAGGAUAGAUCCUGCCUCUUAUCCUUAUGGAAAAUUCGCUAGUGGAUUCUUGGUUCAACGAUAGCCAACCAGCGUCAUUUGUCUCCUUUAUUCGAUCUCUCUAUCCAUGUGGUUUUGGGACAUGUCAGAGUUUGUCACCAACAGAGACCAUCAUCGUCUCCACUCAGCAGCCUCAGAGGUCCAAAUCCGUAUCAGGAGUUGGAUGCGUACUAAAACGUUGGUGCAUGUCUCCAUCAAAACGUGUGCCACCCUCAAAAAUAAACACGCGUCUCGCCGCGUGCCACGUAGACAUUGCUGCAACGGUCUUCAUCACCUCGAC